CCAAUAGCGUAUAUUAAAGUUGUUGCAGUUAAAAAGCUCGUAGUUGAAUUUCGGGAUUGGCACAUCGGUCGUGCCUUAAGGGGUAUGAACUGGUGUAGCCAAUUUCUCACCUUCUGGAGAACCGCGAUGUCCUUAAUUGGGUGCCGCGAGGAACCAGGACCUUUACUUUGAAAAAAUUAGAGUGUUUAAAGCAGGCAUUUUGCUUGAAUACAUUAGCAUGGAAUAAUAAAAUAGGACGGAUGAUUCUAUUUUGUUGGUUUCUAGGACCACCGUAAUGAUUAAUAGGGACAGCCGGGGGCAUAAGUAUUCAAUUGUCAGAGGUGAAAUUCUUGGAUUUAUUGAAGACUAACUACUGCGAAAGCAUUUGCCAAGGAUGUUUUCAUUAAUCAAGAACGAAAGUUAGGGGAUCGAAGACGAUCAGAUACCGUCGUAGUCUUAACCAUAAACUAUGCCGACUAGGGAUCGGAUGAUGUUAAUUUUUUAAUGACUCAUUCGCACCUUAUG
rnacentral:misc_RNA from 1 species